rnacentral:rRNA from 1 species
GGACGAACGCUGGCGGCGUGCUUAACACAUGCAAGUCGAGCGGUAAGGCCCCUUCGGGGGUACACGAGCGGCGAACGGGUGAGUAACACGUGGGUGACCUGCCCUCAGCUCUGGGAUAAGCCUGGGAAACUGGGUCUAAUACCGGAUAUGGCUCCAUGACGCAUGUCGUGGGGUGGAAAGCCUUGUGCGGCUGGGGAUGGGCCCGCGGCCUAUCAGCUUGUUGGU